rnacentral:rRNA from 1 species
UACGGGGGGAGCAAGCGUUGUUCGGAUUUACUGGGCGUAAAGGGCGCGUAGGCGGUCGUGACAAGUCACUUGUGAAAUCUCCGGGCUUAACUCGGAACGGUCAAGUGAUACUGUCGGACUAGAGUACAGAAGGGGCAGCCGGAACAAGCGGUGGAGCGGUGAAAUGCGUAGAUAUCGCUUGGAACGCCGAAGGUGAAAACAGGCUGCUGGGGUUGUGCCGACGCUGAGACACGAAAGCCAGGGGAGCAAACGGG